rnacentral:SRP_RNA from 1 species
GCUGGGCACGGUGGCGCGUGCCUGUAGUUCCAGCUACUUGGGAGGCUGAGGCUGGAGGAUCGCUUGAGCCCAGGAGUUCUGGGCUGUGGUGUGCUAUGCCAAUCGGGUGUCUGCACUAAGUUCAGCAUCAAUAUGGUGACCUCCCAGGAGCGGGGACCACCAGGUUGCCUAAGGAUGGGUGAACCAGUCCAGGUCGGAAAUGGAGCAGGUCAAAACUCCCGUGCUGAUCAGUAGUGGGAUGGCGCCUGUGAAUAGCCACUGCACUCCAGCCUGGGCAACAUAGUGAGAUCUGGUCUCGU